rnacentral:ncRNA from 2 species
AAGUGAAGUAGAGGCGCGAUACAUAUCAGUAUUGUCAAGUAGGGUGAUGCCGCUGUAACUUGAUGAAAAAGGAUGUGUCGCCGAAGUAUCAUGGAGUAUCAAGCCGUGAUGCUGGGGUUGUUUGCGAAAGUGACAACACUGCCAUAGUAAAGGUUUCAAUCUCACCUAAACUGAUUGAAGCUGUUGAUUCACUAUGGAGCGCUACUGUAGGU